GUCUAGAAAACAAAAACAAAAGCUAUACGACGUCAAACAAAUACGAAAGGUUGUGCUAACAUAUGUUACAUGUUUGUUUAGUGCUUGCAGCGAGGGAGUUGGUUCUACCGGAUAGUAGUUGUUUGAAGUAUAAAAACUCAAAAUUUGGGGAGUCUUCAAGUUCAGGGCAUAAUUGGGUAGAAGCAGUUGCAGCCAAACGAGAAGGGAUCUUGGCAGGAAGAUGGAGAAACCGAUGAAGAAGGGGAACAAGAAGUCGAUGAAGGGCAGGUGGUGGGUACAUUUGACGUUGUACAAAAGUUACCCUCUAGUGUAACACAUGUUACAAACAUGUGUUACAUAUGUUCAACCCCUUUGUUACCAAAAAUCGGGGCUGCACAUAUGUAAGACAUGUUUGUAACUUAUGUUACACUAGAGGGUAGCACAUGUAUGAUCAUUUUUGGAUCAUUUGUAUAUAUUUAAGUCUGUAUAAACCUACAACAUCGAAACCCCCAAAAAGGUUACACAUGUUAUGACAGAAUGGGAAAUGUGUAGCAGCGUUCAAUACUGUUGUUUCACUCUAUAGUGUGUAACAUGUGUGACAUGGCGUUUGUCAGCAAAACAUAUAACUUGUAAGGUGAUACGGUUGUAUCUUUAAAACAUGUUUACCUAUAAAUACUUACAUGUUACAGGUUG